GAUGAACGCUGGCGGCGUGCCUAAUACAUGCAAGUCGAGCGAACAGACGAGGAGCUUGCUCCUCUGACGUUAGCGGCGGACGGGUGAGUAACACGUGGAUAACCUACCUAUAAGACUGGGAUAACUUCGGGGAACCGGAGCUAAUACCGGAUAAUAUAUUGAACCGCAUGGUUCAAUAGUGAAAGACGGUUUUGCUGUCACUUAUAGAUGGAUCCGCGCCGCAUUAGCUAGUUGGUAAGGUAACGGCUUACCAAGGCAACGAUGCGUAGCCGACCUGAGAGGGUGAUCGGUCACACUGGAACUGAGACACGGUCCAGACUCCUACGGGAGGCAGCAGUAGGGAAUCUUCCGCAAUGGGCGAAAGCCUGACGGAGCAACGCCGCGUGAGUGAUGAAGGUCUUCGGAUCGUAAAACUCUGUUAUUAGGGAAGAACAAAUGUGUAAGUAACUAUGCACGUCUUGACGGUACCUAAUCAGAAAGCCACGGCUAACUACGUG
rnacentral:rRNA from 1 species